rnacentral:rRNA from 1 species
UUGUCUCAAAGAUUAAGCCAUGCAUGUCUCAGUACAAGCCGCAUUAAGGUGAAACCGCGAAAGGCUCAUUAAAUCAGUUAUGGUUCCUUAGAUCGUACCCACAUUUACUUGGAUAACUGUGGUAAUUCUAGAGCUAAUACAUGCAAACAGAGUUCCGACCGGAGACGGGAGGAAUGCUUUUAUUAGAUCAAAACCAAUGGCGGCGGCGCGCUCGCGCGCCCGUUCGCCGCUCAAUUUGGUGACUCUGAAUAACUUUCGGCUGAUCGCACGGUCUCGCACCGGCGACGCAUCUUUCAAAUGUCUGCCUUAUCAACUGUCGAUGGUAGGUUCUGCGCCUACCAUGGUCGUAACGGGUAACGGGGAAUCAGGGUUCGAUUCCGGAGAGGGAGCCUGAGAAACGGCUACCACAUCCAAGGAAGGCAGCAGGCGCGCAAAUUACCCACUCCCGGCACGGGGAGGUAGUGACGAAAAAUAACGAUACGGGACUCAUCCGAGGCCCCGUAAUCGGAAUGAGUACACUUUAAAUCCUUUAACGAGGAUCAAUUGGAGGGCAAGUCUGGUGCCAGCAGCCGCGGUAAUUCCAGGUCCAAUAGCGUA